rnacentral:rRNA from 1 species
GGGUCACUAGGGUGGUCGUGCCACCGGUACGUACUGGUCUCACUGAUUCCUCCUUCCUGAAGAACCGUAAUGCCAUUAAUUUGGUGUUGCGGGGAAACAGGACUGUUACUUUGAAAAAAUUAGAGUGUUUAAAGCAAGCUAGCGCUUGAAUACAUUAGCAUGGAAUAAUGAAAUAGGACGAUCGAUCCUAUUUUGUUGGUUUCCAGGAUUGACGUA